AAGGGCCCAGAGGACGGUCCAGACGCAGACGAUGCCGAGGGUGUUGAUGAUGACGAGGCAUCAUUAAACGACGAUGCUGGUUCAGAACCGAUGACAAUGGGGAAAGGAAAUGGAAAUGGAAAGGGGACCAAAAAGAAGCUGUGCAUCUACGCCCCAGAUAAUCUACAGUACUGCGUUAGUCAGGCAAAGGAGCUAUGAGUAUUGAUGCCUGAUGACAUCAUCAACAUGUCCAGCAUCCAAUUUUAAAACUAAUAAA